GUGUGAGGCCGACGGUGGCAGAGCUCGUAGCUCGCAGGAUUCUGUGUUUUAACGAAUACGUGGAGGUCACUGAUGCCAAAGACUACGACCGGCGGGCAGACAAACCCUGGACCCGGCUCACUCCCGCUGAUAAGGCUGCUAUCCGUAAGGAGCUGAAUGAGUUUAAGAGCCGAGAGAUGGAGGUCCAUGAAGACAGCAAACAGUUUACCAGAUUCCAUCGGCCCUGAGCACUCUCACUGCCAGCUGGAUGUCAGCGCCACAAUCUCUCCAGUCCACAGCUUCCAGCAACCCCCAUCCCCCCUGUCCCUCCAGACCCUCAGACCCUCAGACCCUCAGUACACAGCUCAGUCCAUUUUUCUUUUGGAUCCUCUCACAACCGAUGAAAUACAUUUCUGUCUAUAGUGACAGUAACAGGUGUGUCUUCAGGCCUUGGCCAUCCGUGGGCACCAGUGAAACAUUUGCACAUAUCUAUAGUCAGGACAGUGGUGUGUAUAGCACUCUGAUUAUAUUAUUUAUUGUAGAUGGCCAGAACAUACUGGUCUGUGAUGUUUUUUUGUUUUUGUUGUUUUGGUUCAUUUCAUCAUAGAGAGGCUCCAGGGAGGAAGAAAGUGGGCAAAAAGACAUUUUUAGUACCGUGAAUGUGACUCAGCUGUAGUAAAGAGUUUGUGUCAAUAUGCCUUGUUAUAAACUGCCAAAUGUCCAUAUAUGGGCAUCCUCUGAGAACAGGAAAUGGCAGUGAUUGGAUGCUUGCGUGCUGGUCUCAUUGCCAUGUCACAGAUCAGAAGGGGAGGAGAGAGGCAGUUGAUUCGGCUCAGAUGUGCCUCUCAGUCGGAUCUGGAAUAUUUAAAGUAUAUUGCCACUAGGGGGCAUUAUAUCAUUAUAGUUAUAGUCUGUGAGGAUGAAGAUUUUAAUGUAAUCUGUAAAGUGUUUUACUUCUAACUGCUGCAGCCUAGGGAUCGGUGGGCACCUGAGGCUCUUAACAGUGAAGUGCAAUGGAGAUCACUCCAGAUCGAGACCAUUCGAACCCCUCCGCCUCCCGAUGAUACACGAUGACCACGUGCCAUCGUAUCUUACGUUGAGUUAAACCCCUGUUCACAAAGUGCUGGCCUUGCUGUUUAGAGGAUCUGCUUUUCAAGCUUUGACUUUUCAUUUUACGCUUUUGGCUGAAGCUCUAAUUUGGUGCCAACGAAAAAGCAGGAAUUUGAUUCUACGUUUUUUUUUUCUCAUUUGAAAGUGAUUUAGUGCGGCGGACUUCCCAGGGUGGUUUCAUAAAUGGCCAACAGGCACUGAGAGGUUCCCCACUGAAGCAAUCAACAGUCGUCUGGAACAAGUCGAGAAGUACUUCAUUUUCCAUUUCCUUGGCUGUGCUCUUGCAACUCCAUCGGUCAGCUCACGAUGGAGACGCAGCGCGAGACGAGCUGACAAGUGGUCCUUUUGCAUCUCGCCCUAACAUGCACCGUGAAACCAAAGAUCUGCUUUCAUCGACACACAGUUUGAUCUAUCAUUUGCAUCUGAGAAUAGAAAAGGAUUGUUCCAACCUUUUGGGGAAAUACCCAAUAACACCUUCACACACUUUCUUGGCGAGUGUAAAGUUUGAAGGUCAAUGCCAGCAGCAGGCUACAAGCUCCGCUCACCAUAGAAACUGGGAGCUUUUAAAAAGAUAAGAUGUCGAUUUAGAGGUGCAGAGCCAGGCUAGCUGUUCCCCUAUGUUUCCAGUCGUUAUGCUAAAAUAAGAUAAUCUCCUGCUUAGUGUAGCUUCAUAAUUCCUGGUAGGAAUCUGAAUGAGAGUAUAUCCCAAAAGGUUGAGCCAUUCCUUAAUAUCACAUGUCAAGCACACCGAUGUUAUAGUAAUCUAAGCAGUCACAAGGCAGGUUAUAAGGCAGAAUAAUGUAUUUCCUGGAAAUAUGUUUCGACCCUAGACGUAUGAUGUGUUGGCAACGUGGCUGAGGUGGUUUGGUUUUAUGGAUUUCUAGCAUACACCUUCGGUGCAUCGAUGGAUUUUCUUCUUUGAAGUGCUCAAAUACUACAAGAUGUAUGUUAAUGUGAAGGGCAUCAAUUAAUAAUGCUUUCUUUUUGCGUAAAGGCCAAAAUGUUUGGCGGCGCGAUCAGAAAAAGAAAAAAGGACCGCCAACCUGAAUUUAUAGAUUGCUCUGUUAUAUAAUAUAAUGCAUAUAAGAAGCUGGGACAGAAAUAAAACUAAACUCUCGAGAUGUUUAUUAGAGAAUUAAACAAAACUGUUCAUAAAAGGAUUUUUUUAAAAGAUGUUUUUCUCCCCAGCAUAUUUGGACUAUAGAGGAGAUGUUGACUGAAAGGUGGUUGCCAUAUUGCGCUUGCUGACGUCCAGAGGCUCGUGUUCUCAUAAACGACCUCCGACCUCGACAACACUCGUCAUUCUGACCAAUAAGAACUGAAAGAGACAGAUUUAUUCGUUUUGCUUCUGAAUGUGAAUGGGUUUGUAACAUGAAAUGAUGUACAGUGAUGGAAAGGAACCAAAAGUAUUCAUUCAUGACUAUGUUGCUAUAUAUAUAUAGAUAUAGACAUAUAUAUGUAUAUAUAUAUAAAUAUUAUUUUGUACACAUACAUGUAUAUCGAGCAUGUGCAUACAUUGAAAUAUAUUUGACCCCCAAUAUGAAACAAUAGAACUUUGAUGUGAAGGUUUUAAACUCGUGAUUUUAAUUGUCUUAUUUUAUUUUCCCGGGACAAUACGAAAGAAAUGAACAGUUCAUGUGUACGAGCCGUUUCUAGGCAGCAUAUUGAGAACAGUAUGUUGAAUAACUGCCACGUCUUAACCAAACCUACCUGUUACCGUAACAGACCAUGCACCAGCCUGAAUAUGGGACGGUCAUUAUACAUGUUAUUUUGUAUUCUGUUCCACUUUCACUCAAACUGAAGUCAGCGGGUGCAAUGCAGUCAGUAUGCCAUGGAUAGAGAUGGUUUAAAAGCAAUUUAUAAUCCUUUCUAGACUUCACUUCUGAUUUAUUUCUUCAGAUGACCGUCGGGUCACCUUGCACAAACUAUAACAAAAACAGGACAUGACUUGAAAUCAUAUGUGGUUCAUGCACAGUAUGUAAUCUAGUUGAAUUGUACACGUGAUGAAACAUGAUUUGGAUUGGUUGCACAUGAAGUGAGCUUCUAUAAAGGUGAACAGAAUGCAUCAAAGACCAAAACGCGUUUUAGAUGCACAAAUAUAACGUGUUGGUGGAAUAGCUUUUAUCCCAGCGUGGCUAAGGAAACAUAAAUAUGCUGCUUGCAUCGCUGUUGAAAAGACGAGUUAAUCUCUAAAGCAUUACUGGCAACAUGUUUAUUUCAACCGAGCCGAUCUGGCAUUUAUAAGCAGUAUAUAGUUGGGUAAAUGUCAAUGGAGGUGAAAGCAGAUAUAAAGACAUGUAAUGCAGCUAUAACCAAUAUGGUUAUCACAAAGGUGACAAUGUCACCUUAGCUCAUGAUUAUGAACCUACAUAAAAUUACCAGCUUAUUGUUUAAGUGUCCACAGCGUUCCUGUUCUGGUUCUCUCUCACGGCAUCAUUUCUGCUUAGUUGAUGUUAUGUUGAUUGGAUCAAGUAUGAAGUGUUUAACACAUUCAUAAAUGGUUUUUAAAACUACCGGAAGGUUUUUAAAUCUGUGUGAAUAUCUCGUAGUUACACAGUCAUGAAAAUAUGUGCUGACAAUCAUUCAUAAGCUGCUUAUACAACAAUUCUGGAAGUUAAAAUUGAAGAAAAAGUACAUUAAUAAACACUAAAUUACCGGUAGUGGGUUACAAAGCUGUUAUGAUUAAUAUACUGCUUAUAAAUACAUAGAAGGGUAAACAUAAAAGUAUUUGUAAAUACAGAGUUAAAUCUUGUUGUAUAGUUUAACACACAGCACAAGGGUGUCCUGGUCUGGACUUUCAUCACAUUUAUAUCUAUAUAUAUAUAUAUAUAUAUAUAUAUAUAUAAAUAUAUAUUUAUAUAUAUAUAUAUAAUUUUUUAAUUCCCAUGCAACACUGAUGCAUAAAUCCAUAUCGUGGUCCAAAAUUAGUUGUAGGUGUUAAGUUAUAACCAGUCAGUAUUAAUCUGGUAUGGAACUGUGAAAUAUACACAAUAAACCCCAAGAAAAGUUAUAAUAACACAACCUUUGUUUCUUUGCAUCGUUGAAGUAUUAAAGAUACAAUUCCUGCCAUUAUAUUUAUUUCAAGAAAAUUCCAGUUGAGUUGGUUUAAAGCAUUCACAGAUGUGCUGACACUUGUUCUUCCCGACUGCUGCGGUUCAUCUGCAGCGCCGGAGCCUUCCACCGUGACGAUGAACAUGUUACAUGUGAGGAUGUCUGCUGAUGGAGCGCUGCUUGAGGCUUAUCAUUUCCACAAAUCAACCCCCCCCCUCACCCCCCUCCAAAUAAUAUCAAAGAGCCAUAAUCAGACUGCUGCUGCUGCUGUUGGCCCUGAAGCUUGCAUUCUUUGACAUGUAAUGGUUUCUAGAUUAUGGGAACGUCACAAUAAAGUGUCGUGAUUCACUCGGGAACACAAGUGUCAGUCACAAUAUAAACCUUUCAGCUUUAAAUGCAUUGAAAGUCAUUGAAAAUCAUUUCUUUUUUUUAUUUGUAUUGAUCUUUGAAGUCAUAGGAUGAUGUAAUAUAUCCCUAAAACAGCUCCUGUUACGUCAAAACUGUAUAUUGUUUUUGUAUAUAAAGAAUCAUAGGAAAACCUC